rnacentral:lncRNA from 1 species
CUUUUUGAACUUGGGAGUGCUGACAGGAAAACCUAUUCUUGCUGCUCUGCGAAGCCUGCAGUCAGACUGCAGAGCAGGGCCAGGAGAGGUAAAAGGCUAUGUCCCCGUUCACGUUCCCCCGGUUGUGUGUCUUUCCUUGUGGAUUUCAUUUUCAUUUACCGUGUUGCACUUUGCUGUUUCUGCAUUCCUGCUCUGAAACCAGUUAGGAAACCAGGCACAGGUUUGCUCUUUUGCUCCCAAAUCCCGUUGCCUCUCCAGCGCUGGACUUGUUUACUGGACCAAAGUGAAAACGCACUCGGGUGGGUAUUUGUUAAAAAAACAAACAAACAACCCCCCCCCCAAAAAAAAAACCCGUUUCUAAAGGNUCCUGUACCUUGGACCCAGAAGCUAUCCAGAGUGGCUGGACAGAGCACCGUGGCACCCGGGGUACAUCUGAGAACAAGACUCAAAGGGUUUCAAGGAGCCGACAGGAGCCCCCUCUUUUCCGAUCCUUCCCAGCGCCGGCCGGCCUCGGCUCUCCGGGGCAGCCCCGCCGUCUGGCAGCAGCCCGGGAGAGACAUGCUGUUUUGUUUAAAUCCUCCACAUUCUUUGCCAUUUCCCCAUUGGCCGGAUGGGGCUACCCUCCCCGCCGCGACGGCUGCUGAUGUCAGCUGCGCUCGCUCCUCCCGCACCCACCUCCCCAGCCCAAGGCACACCGCAGCUCGGCGCCGACUCUCCGGCCCCGGCGAGGUGGCUGCAAACUCGCGGGCACGCACGGCGCUCGGGGAUCCGGACUCGGGGGAGGGGACGCGCGCGGAAGGCGCCAGCUUCCUCCCGCCCGCCCGCCCCUCGCAGGCGCGAGCCGAGGUCGGAGGAACCCGGAGCCCCAGCCCCGCAGAAGCCGAGCGGCCGCGGCGGCGGAGGCUUCCCUUUUCUCACCCAGCGAGACCCUGGAGCGCCUCGGCGACCGGCCUUAAAAAGAGAAGGAAAUCUUGUUUACCGCCGGGGAGCACAGCCGUUCGAGCCUUUGUCUGA